AAAAAUUGAAUUUGAAAAUGAGUUGUGUUUCAUUGAUCAUAAAGAACUAUUUAUCAUUAAAACCUUUCAUUUUAUUUCAUACAAUAUCCAUACAAGAAAUUACAAAAAUAAAUAAAUUGAUUUUGACCUAUAGUUUACUUUGGUCAACUGUUGACUUUUUGUCACCCAUUUGAACAAAGUCAACUCAUCUAAUCCCUAAACCUAAUGUCAAUGUUAACUUUGUUUUUUCAUGUUCUACAUCACCCCUUUUAGCUUAAUGACCAAACUUCUUCACGAGCAAGUAACCAUGUUUUCUUCAUGUUUCAUUCAUGGCACCUUCAUUCCAAGUACCUUGAUAGCACGGUCCAAAUUCACUAAAACGACAUAGAAAUGCAAUGCAUCAUUUGAUAUACACCAAACACAGAUACAUGUUCAUCAUUCCUUUAUGAUUCAAAGCUUGUGCAAUUUAAUUCUAACAAGCAUACAUUCACAACAUUCAGUUCACUAACAAACAUACAAAAGCAUCAUAUACAUUCAACUAACAUUCAUACUCAUAACGGAACAUAUUUUAACAAGAGGUUCAUCUAACUAAUAAUUAACUUUACAAAAAACUGUUAACUUUUAGCUUAUGAACGAACUUUCAGAACUCAAUUCAAACAGAUUUUAUCACUAAUCAUUUCAUCCAUAACAUAAUAACUAACCAUUCAUUCCACUUCCAUAGUGGCCAAUUAACAACUUCUUAGUGCUACUAUCAACUAAAACUAACCUAACAGUCAUAAUAGAAAUCAAAAUUCAUGAAUAACAGCUAACCAUUCUCCACCAGAAAACCUAACUGAUAACCAUUAACAAUUAGCAAUGCAUGAAUUUAACAUAGGUUUCAAUUGAACAACUUAAACUAAUUUAGCAGGGAAACUAACAGGUUUUCUCAAUUUACUGCAUAUCAAAAUAACCUAGCAGAGCAUUUAAACCAACAUUACAUUCAUGACAAAGUUUCAUUUAACUGCACCCAAGUCUAACAGCAGAUUAAGUUUCACGAGUUUAACAACUAACAGAAUUCCAAAGCCUAACUGAGUUCAUAACUAACAGAAAAAUCAACUAGUUUUCAUUUAACCAAAACUUCCUAACAUCUCAGUCCAUUAACUAAAAAUUCAUUCAAUUAAUAACACAACUAACCUAACAUUUUUUCCGGAUUAACACUUCCAACUAAUAGUUUGAAUCUCAACUAAUUUUCAAGACGAUGUAACUAACUUCAAACCAUUUUGGCUUUGAUUUAAAAUAAUAGAGUUAAUCUCUGUUAACUCUAACCCCUAUAAAUCCUUCAUCCUGCAUAAUCAUUCAUCUCUCCGAUUCAUUCAUUUUUCAGAAACUCAUUCACACACACAUACACACUUCGAUUCCUCCAUCUUUCUAGAAAUUCACACGAACACUCUUAGAACCACUCUCACAGAACUCUCUCAAUUCAAUUCCCGACCAUCUCAAUUCAACAACCUCGCAACGAAUUCAAUAGAGGAAGAAGAAGUAGAAGAUCAUAAGAAGAAGGAGACGAAGAAGCGUUCAGAUUCAAAAGCAAGGAAGAAUUCAGAGUAAGAGCUUACCUGAAUAUUAUUUUCCUCUGCAUCUUCUCCAUCGGUAGGUCUUCGAUCUUCACUUCCAUUUCAAAUUGAAUCUGAUAUGGAGAUGUAGUGUGAGGUGAAUGGAAUCAAAGCCCCAUCCAUUCGGGCCUUGAUUCCAUUGUUUCAAAGUUUAAUUUGGAUUUUAUUAAUUAGGGUUCAUACAUGAAUCAUGUCGGUUUGGGAUUUUUGGUAGGAAUUAAAUGAAAUUAAGGUCAAAUAUGGAUGAAGGACAUUAUAACAAAGGGGAUGAUGUAUGGUUUUGGUGGUUUCAGCCUCCGCUGUCGUGGCGAACGGCGCGGUGGAGUUCGUUUCACAGGUGAGGUCAUGGUGGAAGCAUUUUGACAUGAACACGUGAAUAUUGUGAAACGUGAAUUUUGAAACACUUGAACAUGAACUAUGACCUAGCUUUUUCCCUCUCCCUAAUGUGUCUGGCUUGGGGCUUGAGGCGUC
rnacentral:lncRNA from 1 species